CAACUUUUGGUGUCCCAUUGGAUUUCCCCUUGCCUAAAUUUCGCAAUUUGAAGCGCUUGGAGUUUAAAAGGUUUUCAUGUUUUGGAUGGUUUUUAAUGUUUGAAGUUCUUCAACGCUCUUGUGAGCUGGAACAUUUAUGUAUUGAAGAGGCGGAAGAAUUUUUCUGGAAGGAGCCACAGUCAGUUCCCACAUGUGUGCUUUUGAAGCUUAGAAGCAUGAAAUUUAUAAGUUUGAAGAGGGGAGAGUGUGAUAUAAAGUUCAUAGAAUACUUGUUGGCGAAUGCAAAGGUUUUGAAGACACUAACUAUCAUUUCAGAAAUAUGGCCCCCAGCAGAUGAAAUGCGGUUGUGUGAACAGUUUAUGAAGUUUCCAAGUGCUUCGGGUUGUUGUGAGAUUCAGUUUGUUAGGAAGUGGUCUCAUUUCUACAAUAAAUUAGCUUGACACCUUUGAUGGACAUGAAUUUGAUUAAGAGUAAGUUUAUUAUUUUGGCCCUGUGGUAUAUGAUUUUGAGUCAAAGUUAUAUGAUUUUGUUGCAAUUAUUGUC